ensembl:lncRNA
CUGUAACCUACCAGGCUUCUCCGUCCAUGGGAUUUUCCAGGACUGUGGUGAGGAUGGAGUGAGAUACUGCGUCAAGACAGUGAUCUGUAGACUAGAAUGCACUUUUCAAAUGUGAGAGCACGAAGACUGUUGCAGUUGUUCAGACCUACCUAAAAUGGAAUUUGGGCUUUUUUGACUUUUGAAAUGAGUCAUAGCAUGUCUAAGUCAAUUAUGAAGAAAAUGUACGUGAGAGGCAAGAGCAACUCAUGAAUCAAGGAAAUAUCUCCUCUGAGCCACUUGCCUCUGAGAGGAACAUAGAAUUCUGACCUGUAGAAAAUGGAUAUAGUCAGACACUCUUUAUGAAGUUAGCAGUGGUUCUCAGCUUGAGCUGUUCAUUGUAAUCAUCAUCUCAGGGGAUCUUUUAAAAAUGGCUGUUGAGGAGUUCUGGUGCCCGGAGCUCAGCUAGGCAAACAGAACAGCCUCUGUCUGGAACAUUGCUUGAUCUAGUGGCAGAAGAAAAACAGAGAAUGUGGCAAACCAUGUGCUGACUCUGGACAUUUCUGCCUGAGAAUGACACACAUCACUUUCACCAAUAUUUCACCAGCCGAAGAAAUUCCAUCAAAAACAGGUUUUAUUUCAUCAGGAGUUGUCACAGUGACUAUAAUUGUGUGUGAACAUAUCAGAGAAUCAUCCUCUUUUCAUGUUUUCUCAGAAAAACAAACAAACAAACAAAAACUCAGCACAAAUCUCACCCUAUAAGAAGAUUACAUAAGCCACUGGACCAACCUUAGGAGGGCAGAAGCCAAAAAGAAGAAGGAAUUCAACCCUGAAGCCUGGGAAAAAGAGACCUCAAACACAAUAGGUUAAAAACAAUAGUGAAAAGGCGGAGAAAUACUAUACAAAUGAAGGAACAAACUAGAAACACAGAAGUCCAAUAAAUGAAGAGGAAAGAGGUAAACUACCUGAAAAAGAAUACAGAAUAAUGAUAGUAAAGAUGAUCAAAAACCUCGAAAACAAAAUGGAGAAGAUGUGAGAAUAACAAAGGCCUAGAAGAAUUAAAGAAUAAACAUACAGAGACAAACAACACAAUUAC